GCUGUUUGUCUAUGAAGAGUGACCAGUCCAAAGAUGAAUUUCUAGACUUCAGUAAUGAACCUGGAUCCUCAGAGUCAAAAGUUCAGUACAGACCGAGUGCAGAGUCUCCAGUACCCAGCUGUCUGUCUAUGAAGAGUGACCAGUCCAAAGACGAAUUUCUAGACUUCAGUAAUGAACCUGGAUCCUCAGAGUCAAA